UGCGUCAGCCGCCGGACUCGGCCUCUGCUGGACUCCGCGUCCAUGGACUCCGCCAGGCGCGGGGCGGCCCCUGGGAAGCCGGCUCUGCUCCCCGUGCCGGGUGCCAGAGCUUGGGGCUUUUCUGCACCUCAUCUCUGUCAGCAGCAAGCAGGACUCAAGCUCCAAGCCCUGGCUGGGUCCUCCGAGCAGGUGUGAUCAGGGCCCCAGGAGACUGCGGCCUGUGACGGGACAGAUGGCUCCGCCCUGCAACCUUGCCACUCCAAGCUUGGCCCGAGCCCGGGGCGGGGC
rnacentral:lncRNA from 1 species